GUAAAUUUUCGUCUAAUGUUUGGAUAUUUUUUUUUCUGAAGAAACAUUUUUGCACAAUUUAAGUUCAAACACCAGAAAAUUGUUUGAAAUAAUUUGUUCUUCCACAAUCUCUCUAUUUCUCGGGUGAAAUUGACGAUCUGGUCGCAAAAAGUAUAAGAAUUAUCUCAUAACAAAGACGGACAACUCUUUGUUGAUGAGUAGGUGCAGCUCUGGAUCGAGCCGGUGAACACGAAUUUGGUUUAGAUUUUUAUCAGAUUCCAACCUCCUCCAUGGAUAUGUCGAGUUCCCAUUGUUCACAGUUUGAACAAAAUGAUGAAUACAAGAAAGCUGAUCAAAAUGGUAGUGAUAUACUCACAGCCCUUACCAAAGAAAGAGGUUGGGCCACUAAAUAUCUUUACCAGUACAAGUCCUUUUGGUUUACUCCGGUAGCUAUUAAAGGAGUUGAGAAGGCACAACAACGCUUCGAAGCUCAAUCCACAGAUAUUCUUCUAGCUACUUUCCCAAAAUCAGGAACAACAUGGUUCAAGGCCCUUAUCUUUUCCCUCAUGAAUCGUGAUCGAUUCGAUUUCUCCUCUCACCCUUUACUUACCAAGAUUGCAUUCCCUUCUUGGAAUCCAUCAUACAAGAUGAAACUUCCUACCAAGAUUAUCGAAUUUCAUGUUUGCCACGUCGCCUUUUCGCGACCCACAUUCCUUGCUCUUUGUUACCAGCAUCUGUGAUGUCUUCUGGUUGCAAGA